rnacentral:lncRNA from 1 species
GGGAGAUGUCAACAUUCCAGGAAUAAGAAUGCAUUGCAGGUCAGUUGGCUGGACCUCAUUGUGACCUGGGAGCCCUGCAUGAUGAAGGGAUGAUGGGUGAGUUACUAAGGCUGACUUUUUCCUGAGGACAUUGAGUUAGGGAAGUGGCCUCUCCUUGAGGGAAGGAGCCAGAUGGCUUCUCAGAGAACAACCACCACAUUCAAAAUAUUCUCAAGUUUCCUUUGUUUCUUCUUGUCUGCGUCUGAUGUCCAGGACGUUACUCCACAGGAAAAGGUUAAUAUGAGAUCAAGAUCGGCCAGCAUUGUAGCCGUUUUUGGAAUCUCCCACACCAAGUUUUGA